GUAGGUGGGCAAGCGUUGUCCGGAAUUAUUGGGCGUAAAGCGCGCGCAGGGCGGUCCUUUAAGUCUGAUGUGAAAGCCCACGGCUCAACCGUGGAGGGUCAUUGGAAACUGGGGGACUUGAGUACAGAAGAGGAAAGCGGAAUUCCAAGUGUAGCGGUGAAGUGCGUAGAGAUUUGGAGGAACACCAGUGGCGAAGGCGGCUUUCUGGUCUGUAACUGACGCUGAGGCGCGAAAGCGUGGGGAGCAAACAGGAUUAGAUACCCUGGUAGUCCACGCCGUAAACGAUGAGUGCUAAGUGUUAGGGGGUUUCCGCCCCUUAGUGCUGCAGCUAACGCAUUAAGCACUCCGCCUGGGGAGUACGGCCGCAAGGCUG
rnacentral:rRNA from 1 species